UUUCACAUAAAGCGAUAUGGUAACACACGCACGCACGCACGAACACACAAACAUACACAACUACACAUGCACAUACAAGUGAACACGUUCCUACAGUAUUAACACUCGCAUAUGUGAUCACUUAUGAAAUAUUUUCAAUGUGCUCUUUAUCAGUUUAUGAUGAAGUUAUAUUAUGAUUUUUUCAGGACAGUGUACAGCGUGUUUAAAUCUUCCAGAAAUGCAGCUGUGCCCUCUUAACAGCAAUUAUAGAUGAAGCAAAGUAUGGUAGCAAGUAAUAUAGAUAUACACACAUGCCGAAGAAGAUUGUAAUAUCUGGAGAAAACAUUUCCUACGUCACGAAAUAGACACCGUCACACUGGCCUAUAGAUGAUUGAUAUAUUUAAGUGCUUUUAAGAACAGUGUUUGAAUGUCGAAUUUCUGAAAAUACGGAUUUUUAAUUUUAAUGCUUAUUAUUAAAACUCUCUGUAAUUAUCAAUUUGUGCCAUGGACUCAUUUUCCUAACAUAACAUGUGAAUGUUAACACGAGCAAAUGAUAUGAAUAUCUUUAAAAUAUUUUAUGGGUGUAAUAUAAGUGGCUCACAUGAAUCAUUGUUAAGAUAAAUCGAAAAGAACUUCAAUUUAGCAUAGUUUGUUCUAGAUUUAAACAACAUGCAAUUCAUAAAGGUUACGGCUUGAAAAUAUCGAAAAAUGUACAUGUAUAAUUCGAUCUCUGAAGAAAAUAUCGCGGUGCGGAUGUUCUGCACCGUGAUACGUAUUUCAUGACUCUGUAUUGCAACAUACCGGUAUAUCGCCGUUCCGUUGCAACGCUACAUUAAUGUGUCCCUCUGGAAUAAGUAUGACUAUUGUAGCGAAGACAUGUUUAUUUUGUUAUAUAUAUGUAUACAUAUUGAAUAUAUGUUUAUGAAAUAAUAAAUAUUUAAUAGUGA